GAUUAACGCUAGCGGGAUGCCUAAUACAUGCAAGUCGAACGAAGCACUUGUGCUUAGUGGCGAACGGGUGAGUAACACGUAUCUAACAUACCUUUUAGUGGGGGAUAACUGGUUGAAAAACUAGCUAAUACCGCAUAGGACAUUACUAUCGCAUGAGAAAAUGUUUAAAGUUGCGUUUGCAACGCUUUAAGAUUGAGGUGCGGCAUAUCAGAUAGUUGGUAGGGUAACGGCCUACCAAGUCUAUGACGUGUAGCUGUGCUGAGAGGCAAAACAGCCACAAUGGAACUGAGACACGGUCCAUACUUCUACGGGAGGCAGCAGUAGGGAAUUUUUCACAAUGGGCGAAAGCCUGAUGGAGCAAUCCCGCGUGAACGAUGAAGGUUUUUUAAAUUGUAAAGUUCUUUUAUUGGGGACGAAUUGUAGGAAGAGGAAAUGCUUUCUAUUUGACUGUACCCUUUGAAUAAGUAUCGGCUAAUUAUGUGCCAGCAGCCGCGGUAAUACAUAGGAUGCAAGCGUUAUC
rnacentral:rRNA from 1 species